rnacentral:lncRNA from 1 species
GGCCCUUGUGUAUUACAUUUGCAUUUCCUGUAUACCUAUCUUGGCUGCUCUAUUCACUACCUUUUUAUACCUAUCCAUUCUUUUUCUCUUUUUUUCUAAAGUUUUGUUCCCUUUGAAGACUCUUGCUCUUAAAACAAGGAGUAUCCAAAUUCAUCACUUAAAAGUCAAUCUUCCUACAGGUUUCAUCAUGGAAUUUUUGAAUCUAUUCUGAUUGCACUAGUUAUCCUUUAGUGAAACUAUUUUUAUUUCACAGACUUAGAGUCUCUCGAACUUGGUAUGCAACUCUGGGCAAAAGCAUUUGAAUGUGUGUUUUUCAUUUUGAUUAAGAAAUGAGAGCACUUUGAAGAUACAUCCAUGAUGCUGGCUACCCGUAAAGAAAAUAAACUGAGUGUCAAUGGAACAGACAGAGAAUCAGAGAACAAAAGAAAGUCAAGAGAUUUACCCAAGAGAGAAUGGUAGCAGAAACAGACUCGGG